UACGAAGGGGGGCUAGCGUUGUUCGGAAUCACUGGGCGUAAAGCGCACGUAGGCGGAUCUUUAAGUCAGGGGGUGAAAUCCCGAGGCUCAACCUCGGAACUGCCCUUUGAUACUGGGGGAUCUCGAGUCCGGGAGAGGUGAGUGGAACUGCGAGUGUAGAGGUGAAAUUCGUAGAUAUUCGCAAGAACACCAGUGGCGAAGGCGGCUCACUGGCCCGGAACUGACGCUGAGGUGCGAAAGCGUGGGGAGCAAACAGG
rnacentral:rRNA from 1 species